rnacentral:rRNA from 1 species
AGAGUUUGAUCCUGGCUCAGGAUGAACGCUAGCGGCAGGCCUAAUACAUGCAAGUCGAACGGUGAUAGCAAUAUCAUAGUGGCGCACGGGUGCGUAACACGUAUGCAACCUACCUUAUACUGAGGGAUAGCCUUUCGAAAGGGAGAUUAAUACCUCAUAACACAUUGAACUGGCAUCAGUUUAUUGUUAAAGAUUUAUUGGUAUAAGAUGGGCAUGCGUCCAAUUAGUUAGUUGGCGAGGUAACGGCUCACCAAGACGAUGAUUGGUAGGGGAACUGAGAGGUUAAUCCCCCACACUGGCACUGAGAUACGGGCCAGACUCCUACGGGAGGCAGCAGUAGGGAAUAUUGGGCAAUGGAGGCAACUCUGACCCAGCCAUGCCGCGUGCAGGAAGAAGGCGUUAUGCGUUGUAAACUGCUUUUAUAUAGGAAGAAAUAGACCUUGCGAGGUAAGUUGACGGUACUAUAUGAAUAAGCACCGGCUAACUCCGUGCCAGCAGCCGCGGUAAUACGGAGGGUGCAAGCGUUGUCCGGAUUUAUUGGGUUUAAAGGGUGCGUAGGCGGUUUAUUAAGUCAGUGGUGAAAGACGGCGCUCAACGAUUGCAGUGCCAUUGAUACUGGUAGACUUGAGUGGGAUUGAGGUAGCUGGAAUGGAU